GAUGAACGCUGGCGGCGUGCCUAAUACAUGCAAGUCGAGCGAACGGACGAGAAGCUUGCUUCUCUGAUGUUAGCGGCGGACGGGUGAGUAACACGUGGAUAACCUACCUAUAAGACUGGGAUAACUUCGGGAAACCGGAGCUAAUACCGGAUAAUAUUUUGAACCGCAUGGUUCAAAAGUGAAAGACGGUCUUGCUGUCACUUAUAGAUGGAUCCGCGCUGCAUUAGCUAGUUGGUAAGGUAACGGCUUACCAAGGCAACGAUGCAUAGCCGACCUGAGAGGGUGAUCGGCCACACUGGAAAUGAGAAACGGUCCAGACUCCGACGGGAGGCAGCAGUAGGGAAUCUUCCGCAAUGGGCGAAAGCCUGACGGAGCAACGCCGCGUGAGUGAUGAAGGUCUUCGGAUCGUAAAACUCUGUUAUUAGGGAAGAACAUAUGUGUAAGUAACUGUGCACAUCUUGACGGUACCUAAUCAGAAAGCCACGGCUAACUACGUG
rnacentral:rRNA from 1 species